rnacentral:rRNA from 1 species
CGUAAACUAUGAUCACUAGAUGUUGGCGAUAUAAUGUCAGCGUUCAAGAGAAAUCGUUAAGUGAUCCACCUGGGGAGUACGUUCGCAAGAAUGAAACUCAAAGGAAUUGACGGGGGCCCGCACAAGCGGUGGAGCAUGUGGUUUAAUUCGAUGAUACGCGAGGAACCUUACCAAGGCUUAAAUGUAAAACGACCGGUUGAGAAAUCAAUCUUUUUUCGAACGAUUUACAAGGUGCUGCAUGGUUGUCGUCAGCUCGUGCCGUGAGGUGUCGGGUUAAGUCCCAUAACGAGCGCAACCCCUAUUUUUAGUUGCCAGCGAGUAAUGUCGGGAACUCUAGAAAAACUGCCUGUGCAAACAGAGAGGAAGGUGGGGAUGACGUCAAAUCAUCACGGCCCUUAUGUCUUGGGCUACACACGUGCUACAAUGGUAAUUACAAUGGGAAGCCAUCUGGCAACAGAGAGCUAAUCCACAAAAAUUAUCCCAGUUCGGAUCGGAGUCUGCAACUCGACUCUGUGAAGUUGGAAUCGCUAGUAAUCGCACAUCAGCCAUGGUGCGGUGAAUACGUUCCCGGGCCUUGUACACACCGCCCGUCAAGCCAUGGAAGUUUGGGGUACCUAAAGUCAGUAACCGCAAGGAGCUGCCUAAGGUAAAACAAGUAACUAGGGCUAAGUCAUAACAAGGUAACCGUA